rnacentral:sRNA from 1 species
AUUAGUCAAGGUUCUUA